AGAGUUUGAUCCUGGCUCAGGACGAACGCUGGCGGCGCGCCUAACACAUGCAAGUCGAACGAGAGAGAGGGAGCUUGCUUCUUCAAUCGAGUGGCGAACGGGUGAGUAACGCGUGAGGAACCUGCCUCAAAGAGGGGGACAACAGUUGGAAACGACUGCUAAUACCGCAUAAGCCCACGGCUCGGCAUCGAGCAGAGGGAAAAGGAGCAAUCCGCUUUGAGAUGGCCUCGCGUCCGAUUAGCUAGUUGGUGAGGUAAUGGCCCACCAAGGCAACGAUCGGUAGCCGGACUGAGAGGUUGAACGGCCACAUUGGGACUGAGACACGGCCCAGACUCCUACGGGAGGCAGCAGUGGGGAAUAUUGCACAAUGGGGGAAACCCUGAUGCAGCGACGCCGCGUGGAGGAAGAAGGUCUUCGGAUUGUAAACUCCUGUUGUUGAGGAAGAUAAUGACGGUACUCAACAAGGAAGUGACGGCUAACUACGUGCCAGCAGCCGCGGUAAAACGUAGGUCACAAGCGUUGUCCGGAAUUACUGGGUGUAAAGGGAGCGCAGGCGGGAAGACAAGUUGGAAGUGAAAUCUAUGGGCUCAACCCAUAAACUGCUUUCAAAACUGUUUUUCUUGAGUAGUGCAGAGGUAGGCGGAAUUCCCGGUGUAGCGGUGGAAUGCGUAGAUAUCGGGAGGAACACCAGUGGCGAAGGCGGCCUACUGGGCACCAACUGACGCUGAGGCUCGAAAGUGUGGGUAGCAAACAGGAUUAGAUACCCUGGUAGUCCACACCGUAAACGAUGAUUACUAGGUGUUGGAGGAUUGACCCCUUCAGUGCCGCAGUUAACACAAUAAGUAAUCCACCUGGGGAGUACGACCGCAAGGUUGAAACUCAAAGGAAUUGACGGGGGCCCGCACAAGCAGUGGAGUAUGUGGUUUAAUUCGACGCAACGCGAAGAACCUUACCAAGUCUUGACAUCCCUUGACGAACAUAGAAAUAUGUUUUCUCUUCGGAGCAAGGAGACAGGUGGUGCAUGGUUGUCGUCAGCUCGUGUCGUGAGAUGUUGGGUUAAG
rnacentral:rRNA from 1 species